AGUAGACUCAGUUUACUCUCUGUUCUUGGUUUGCUGCAUAGGAAUUAUCAUUUGGUGUUGUGGCUGUGUACAACUAAACCAGUCUGAUGCAACUAUGCAAUGAUUAUGUACUGGCAUUGCUGAAAUAAAACUAUCAAAUGGA